rnacentral:rRNA from 1 species
AUUGAACGCUAGCGGGAUGCCUUACACAUGCAAGUCGAACGGAGUGGCGAACGGGCGAGUACUGUAUCGGAACGUGCCCAGUAGCGGGGGAUAACUACGCGAAAGCGUAACUAAUACCGCAUACUAUUGGCGCGGCCGCUAUCGGAUUAGCUAGUUGGGGGGGUAACGGCUCACCAAGGCGACGCGCCGUAGCUGGUUGGAGAGGACGACCAGCAACACUGGGACUGAGACAGGGCCAAGACACCUACGGGAGGCAGCAGUAGGGAAUUUUGGGCAAUGGGGGAAACCCUGAUCCAGCCAGCCGGCGUGGGCGAUGAGGGCCUUCGGGUUGUAAAGCACGUUUGGCAGGAAAGCGGUACCUGCAGAAUAAGCACCGGCUAACUACGUGCCAGCAGCCGCGGUAAUUC